UAUCUCAAAAUAUUGACUUAGUAUCUCUAUAUAUUGACUUAAUAUCUCAAAUGAUUGACUUAGUAUCUCAGAAUAUUGACUAAGAAUCUCAAAAUAUAGACUUAGAAUAUCAAUAUUUAAUACCCAAUCAUGACACUCCCCUGUUUCCAAUUAACCUGUUCACCUGUGGAAUGUUCCAAUCAGUCUUUUAUUGCCCAUGUCCCAGCUUUUUUGGAACUUGUUGCAGGCAUCAAAUUCAAAAUGAGUGAAUAUUUGCAAAAAAAACCAAUGAAGUCUAUCAGUUUGAACAAUAAAUACCUUGUCUUUGUAGUGUAUUCAAUUGAAUUUAGGUUGAAAAUAAUUUGCAAAUCAUUAUAUUCUGUUUUUAAUGUUUUACUCAACUUCCCAACUUCAUUGGAAUUGGGGUUUGUAGAGAAGUAGUACAUUCUGAUAUACAUUUUCUACCUGACAGAAUGAGCUACCCUACUUUUUUCUGCUUCUGUGUUACCAAAUGUUGUACUCACAAUAGUGAUAACAAUAAUGAAUAAUCACACCUUUAAACUAGCAGUUUCCUGCUCCAGUAUGUGGUUAAUAAACUUUCUGGAGCACAUAAGUGAUAAGUGCCCUGCUCAAAGACCAGGAAU